rnacentral:lncRNA from 1 species
UCUCUGUGCAUUUUCCCCUCAGCUUUUUCAGAAGGUCAAAGCAAUUAAGCUAACUAUCCCUAUUUCUUAUUACUAUUAAAUUUCCACCCACUUCCCCGCUGUCUGCAGGGAUUGAAAGUGCAGGAACUCAAACACCGCAGGAAGGCUCUUUUCCAAUGCAAUGUUUGCUGCACUCCCCAAAGCGCUGGAAAUCUACACCAAGAGACGGGUUUCUUUUUUUUUUUAAUCACACGGUUACUGUGGUGAUACCUCAAGCGCAACUCUGCCUUCACUAGUGGCAGCAUGUACCAGUAUAGCACCUACAUCCUCUGAGGAGUCAAAAAUGACACCAGUGAAGAGGAGCCCAAACUAGACUUACCCAGUAGGACUGUGCAGCUUGCACUGUGCCAUGACAUCCAACAGUGCCUGGACCCGAGGCAAGAUCCUCAGCUGGGAUAAAUCAGCUCCACUUCCCUGUGGCCAAGGGAGGUAGGAAGAUGCACAGUGGUUCUGGACACAACCUGCCUUGUUUGGAGACUGGACCUCUUUUCCCUGAAUGACUGGAAUGACUUGGAGUGUUUUUUUAUGCAGUUCUCAUAGAUGCAGAUAGGUCUGUGUUGCUCUUCUACUCUAGCCAAUGUACUCUACCAGCAUUUCAAUGCCUGCUAGUCAAUAACAUUUAUUACAGUAGAAGGGAAACCUGUGAUGAUCUUCCUAAAUGCUGUGCCGGGUGAAUAACAAACACAAGAAGUGUCUUGACUGGAUAGAGGAUCUUCACACCUUUUGACAGAUGCACUAUAUACACAGAAAAUGUAGCGAUAUUUUUCCAGCCAUGAGUCUCAGCCUCUGUAUGAACAUCAAAGGAAACAUACCCAGAAUAUUCAGCUAGAUGAAGAGUGUGAAUUCAUCACAGAUUCCUCCUCAGCAUCUGCCUAGACUUAAAAUAAGCAGAUCCAGAAAGAUUACUGCGUCAGAAGCGGGGAGAAUCCUGCCGAAGGUGAACUGUCUCAUUCCUGAAUGCUGCCAAGAGGUCAUGGACUUUAAGGACAGGACUCACCAAGGACCCUCAAGCCAAUGUUCUUUUUCCAUGGACCACAGGACUCACUGAGAUCAGUUCAAGCUUCAGAUCCAAAGACAAUGGUUGGAAUAAAACAGAUUUUUCUGGAAAAACUUCCA